UGGGGAAUUUUCCGCAAUGGGCGAAAGCCUGACGGAGCAAUACCGCGUGAGGGAGGAAGGUCCUUGGAUUGUAAACCUCUUUUAUCAGGGAAGAAGUUCUGACGGUACCUGAUGAAUAAGCAUCGGCUAACUCCGUGCCAGCAGCCGCGGUAAUACGGAGGAUGCAAGCGUUAUCCGGAAUUAUUGGGCGUAAAGCGUCCGUAGGUGGUUAUGCAAGUCUGCCGUUAAAGAACGGAGCUUAACUCCAUAGGAGCGGUGGAAACUGCAAGACUAGAGUACAGUAGGGGUAGCAGGAAUUCCCAGUGUAGCGGUGAAAUGCGUAGAUUUUGGGAAGAACAUCGGUGGCGAAAGCGGGUACUGGGCUCAACUGACACUGACGGACGAA
rnacentral:rRNA from 1 species